AUGGCUCUAGCCCGGAGGUUCCUGUUCCUCUUCCCUGCCGCCGUCCUGACAUGGCUCGCCUCGGCCUCCGCGUCGCCCUUUCUGUCGGACAGAGUAUUCCAGGCCAGCACCGGAUCCACGGGGAGGAGCUUGCUGCAGACCAAGAGGGACUGCCCUAUAGACUUUGAGUACCAGAACUACACAAUCAUCACAAGCAGGUGCAAAGGGCCACAAUCGCCCCCUACGGAAUGUUGUGAUGCUUUCAAGAAAUUUGCAUGCCCAUUUGCCGUGUACAUCAACAACCAGAGCACUAACUGUGCAGACACAAUGUUAACCUACAUCAACGGCCGUGGCUCAUACCCAGCAGGAAUGUUCGCUGCCGAGUGCCUAAAAGGCAAGCAAGGGGUUUCUUGCGAAGGCAUCCCAGGGAUAGACACCGGCGUGCCAAGCGGCGGGCGACGAGCUCACGGGAUUUCAGGUCGUUUGAUCGCUCUCUUGUGUGGACUAGGAGGAUUGCUGUUCCAUUGA
rnacentral:rRNA from 1 species